AGGCGGAUGAUGCAUCUUUCGCCGUUGAAUUAGUGAAUCAGAUACGUCUUAUUCCUCCUCGUGUUCGUCUCGGUGAAGCUCUCUCUCGCAAAUUUUUCAAACUCUUUGCGCCCUCUGUUGUUUCUCCCUUCACCAGAAGAAAGGUUAAACUCGUGGGACCCAGACAUGACGAAUAUUUCAGAAUGUGUGAGAAGAGAACCCAUCACUUUCAGAAGCUCUAGAUCAUGUGGCAGUGCCCACCAACCACUAGAAAGAACAUCCCACGAAUAUUUUUUUUCUUUUCGUAAUUUGUAAAUUACUAAUAAUCAUGUAUGGACACCACAAUCAAAGUAAUAAUGUUUUUUUCUU